rnacentral:rRNA from 1 species
GAUGAGCGCUGGCGGCGUGCCUAAUACAUGCAAGUCGAGCGAACGGACGAGAAGCUUGCUUCUCUGAUGUUAGCGGCGGACGGGUGAGUAACACGUGGAUAACCUACCUAUAAGACUGGGAUAACUUCGGGAAACCGGAGCUAAUACCGGAUAAUAUUUUGAACCGCAUGGUUCAAAAGUGAAAGACGGUCUUGCUGUCACGUAUAGAUGGAUCCGCGCUGCAUUAGCUAGUUGGUAAGGUAACGGCUUACCAAGGCAACGAUGCAUAGCCGACCUGAGAGGGUGAUCGGCCACACUGGAACUGAGACACGGUCCAGACUCCUACGGGAGGCAGCAGUAGGGAAUCUUCCGCAAUGGGCGAAAGCCUGACGGAGCAACGCCGCGUGAGUGAUGAAGGUCUUCGGAUCGUAAAACUCUGUUAUUAGGGAAGAACAUAUGUGUAAGUAACUGUGCACAUCUUGACGGUACCUAAUCAGAAAGCCACGGCUAACUACGUG